rnacentral:misc_RNA from 1 species
GAAUUGCGAUAUGUAAUGUGAAUUGCAGAAUUCAGUGAAUCAUCGAAUCUUUGAACGCACAUUGCACCAUCUGGUAUUCCAGAAGGUAUGCCUGUUUGAGUGUCAUUAAAACAUCAAAGUACAGAAUCUUUUUGAUUUUUGUACUUUGGAUUUUGAAGGGCCUUUGCUGAUUGUGAAGAUCAGCUCCUUUUAAAUGAAUUAGCGGACUUUUUGUAAACCAUUGGAAAGUCAGCCUCGGAUUGAUACGUUCUAUGCCGUUGCUGAUGUCUUUGGUUUGACCGCUUUCAAACUGUCCAUGUAUAAUUGGACUGUCCUUUAUGGGCAAAAAACAUAUCUUAAGACUUGACCUCAAAUCAGGUAGGACUACCCGCUGAACUUAA